GAUGAACGCUGGCGGCGUGCCUAAUACAUGCAAGUCGAACGAACGGGCGCGAAGCUUGCUUCUCUGAUGUUUGCGGCGGACGGGAGUGACACACGUGUAUAAUCUACCUGUCAGACGGGGAUCACUAGGGGAAACCGGCGCUUACACGGGAGAAUCUCUUGAACCGCAGUGUUGAAAAGUGAAAGACGGCCUUGCUGUCUGUUAUCGCUGGUUACGCGCUGGAUUAGGUAGUUGUUAAGGUAACGGCUUACCAAGGCAACGAUGCAUGGCCGACCUGAGAGGGUGAUCGGCCACACUGGAGCUGAGACACGGUCCAUACUCCUACGGGAGGCAGCAGUAGGGAAUCUGCCGCAAUGGUCGAAAGCCUGACGGAGCAACGCCGCGUGAGUGAUGAAGGUCUUCGGAUCGUAAAACUCUGUUAUUAGGGAAGAACCUAUGUGUAAGUAACUGUGCACAUCUUGACGGUACCUAAUCAGAAAGCCACGGCUAACUACGUG
rnacentral:rRNA from 1 species